CAGCGCACUGGGGGCUGUAACCCAGGGGCGGUAGCCAG
rfam:Aeromonas diversa 2478-85 Contig 25, whole genome shotgun sequence.